rnacentral:rRNA from 1 species
GAUGAACGCUGGCGGCGUGCCUAAUACAUGCAAGUCGAGCGAACAGACGAGGAGCUUGCUCCUCUGACGUUAGCGGCGGACGGGUGAGUAACACGUGGAUAACCUACCUAUAAGACUGGGAUAACUUCGGGAAACCGGCGCUAAUACCGGAUAAUAUAUUGAACCGCAUGGUUCAAUAGUGAAAGACGGUUUUGCUGUCACUUAUAGAUGGAUCCGCGCCGCAUUAGCUAGUUGGUAAGGUAACGGCUUACCAAGGCAACGAUGCGUAGCCGACCUGAGAGAGUGAUCGGCCACACUGGAACGGGGACACGGUCAAGACUCCUACGGGAGGCAGCAGUAGGGAAUCGUCCGCAAUGGGCGAAAGCCUGACGGAGCAACGCCGCGUGAGUGAUGAAGGUCUUCGGAUCGUAAAACUCGGUUAUUAGGGAAGAACAAAUGUGUAAGUAACUAUGCACGUCUUGACGGUACCGAAUCAGAAAGCCACGGCUAACUACGUG